UGAAACUCUGCCACGGACAUUUUUUUUGGCAAAACCAGAACAAAAGCAAGCCUGCUGGGUCGCUUUCAGUUCCAACUCUGGAGGAACAGCAGCCUUCAGGCUCUAUUUCUAUCUCUGCCCCUCCUCACCAACUUGCCCCCCUCUCCUUUCCAGCCCCAAGCCCAGACGUCCAAUUAUCUGAGCGCUCCCUGACUCAGUGGCAGCCUGACUCAUUCGGAGGACACAGCAUCAGCAGUCGGAUAGAAAGAUCACUGGGGUUGGAGUCAGGAGGCCCGAGCUCUCGGCUUGCUUUGCCAGGAGCUUGCCAAGCUGCUGUGGAGUUCCAGGAUCGUUAACCCUGUCUGAAGAGCAUUAUCUGUCUGACUAAGGCCAGAGGAUGGACCUUACAGUUGCUGCCAAGGAAAGACCCAUCAGAAUAAACACUGAUCUUCUCUGGGAGAGCCCAGUUUACAAAAGGACUCCCUCCAAAGGUCCUCUGCCAUGGUCCAGCCCAGCAGCCCAUGAACUAGAUGGAAGAGGGGCUGAUGGAACAAAGGAACAAAAAGAGAAGAAUCCCUGCCCUCAAAGGGCUCAAAAUGCAACAGGGAGAAAAGGCUAUGCAGAGCAAUACAAAGUCUAUCAGAGAGAGUAUCGGGAUUUUAGGAGUCUGAGUUUAGGAAGGAGAAUGUGCAGAGGGCAGAGGGGGAAUAUAUGAACCUGGAAUAACGUUCCUGCCACAGGAAGGUAAGAGAUGGCAGAUUGUGUGUGAGGAACAACAAGUAGGACAAAAUGACUAGAAUAGAAAGUGUGGGAAGGCAAGGAAUGUGACAUUCUACUGGAAACAGAUAGGAACCGAAUUGUAGGUGAGCCUAAUUGGUUGUUUUGACCUUGGAGGGUUUUCAUAUGUUGGAUAUUCUUUUCCUAAUGAGAUCAGACUCUCUCCACCAGGAGAGGGAUUGUCUUAUAUGUCUCCACCAGGACAGGGCUUUGUACAUGGUAGGUGCUGAAGUUGUUAAAUGUAUUAAAAAAUAAAUC